GUUGUUUUUUCGAUGUGUUCCUACCUCAUAUUUGACGCAACUUUAAACAGGAAACUAAAUCUUUUAACCCUUGAAUAUUCUGAGUAAACUUGUUCAUUCUGUUUGUGAUGUUUUUGCUACUUGCUUGCAUUAUGCUUGUGGAUAAGUUGUGAAAAUAGCAAUCCCAACGGAAACUGUUGUCUUUGCUUGCAUGCUCGCUUUGCCUUAGUUUUCUUCCCGUGGUUGUGAAAUCACAAGAAUUGUUUAUGUUGCAAGAAGAUGAAGAGACAAGUUCUCUGUUUUUAAGUUUAAAGUGAAAUUUUUAUUUGGAUCCCCCACAGUUGUUGCACCCUCUUGUAGUGUGGGGUUAUGCAUUGUGAUAAACCUCCUGUAAAAUGUAAAUUUGGUUCGCCUCAUAACAUGAAUGACGCAGUCAGAUUAAUAAAAGUUUUUCUUUGCUAAGAGAUAGUUUUGAUCUAGUGUGUGUUUACUGCUGGUUAUUGCGCCCCGCCGAAGGGGCGCACAUUUAGUGGACCGCGGGUAUAUAGUGUUUGGUUUAUGUAUGGGAGAAGUUUUUUUCUUACUCUCAACUUCGCGGGGGAACUUCGGCUCGAACAUCCAACCUAGGUUUGAUAUAACACAACCUGUGUGUUUGGUACCAUCAAGACAAAAAUAACACUGAUCGAGCAAAACUUAUCUUGUCUCGGUUUCUUUGUUGUCUCUGAAGAUUUGACUGCCAUAAAAAAUAUUAAUCGAGAUUCUUUUGUUAUGUUAAUUUAAAGCUUUGUAAUAUUGUCUCGUUUAAUAUGCUUAAAUGUCACUGCAGCCCACGUGAAUUUAUCUUCAAGAAAAGGUUUGUUUUUCUUUGUCCAAGUUGUUUCGAAACUUGUUAACAAUCAUUUGUUAUGAAACCAUGCACCAUCAGCAUUUUCGAAAAAUCUUCAACGAGAGAAAUUUUUAAGGAUUUUAUUGGUAACUUAACAGAGUAAUAAUUCAUUGAAAUUGAAAUUGUUCAGAAGUUAUUAUAUAUAUUCGAAUCGUGAAGUUCAUACAUAGGAAUCCUGCAUCCUGGAAUUUUCGAGAUCAGUUAUAAAAAAAUCCAGUUAAAGUUUUUACUAUUGUUUUAGAAUAUAUACUAUAUAUAUGUAAAAAAAAAAUUAUUUUUUAUUUAUCAAGUUGUAUUUUACGUUAAUUACAAUAAUAAUUGAGAAUUAGGAUA